rnacentral:rRNA from 1 species
UACGGGGGGGGCAAGCGUUGUCCGGAGUGACUGGGCGUAAAGCGCGCGCAGGCGGUUAGACACGCCGGUCGUGAAAGCCCCCGGCUCAACCGGGGCGGGUCGAUCGGGACGGUCUGACUGGAGGGUGUCAGAGGGGGGUGGAACGCCGCGUGGAGCAGUGAAAUGCGUAGAUAUGCGGCAGAACACCGGAGGCAAAGGCGGCCCCCUGGGGCACAUCUGACGCUGAGGCGCGAAGGCGCGGGGAGCGAACGGG